CCAUACCACCCUGAACGCACCGGGAUCUUGUCUGAUCUCAGAAGCCAAACAGCGUUGGGCCUGGUGAGUACUUGGAUGGG
rnacentral:rRNA from 1 species